rnacentral:rRNA from 1 species
AGGUCGUGCACGCCUCGAGCAUUCUCUCAUAUCCAUCUCACCCCUUUGUGCAUUGCCGCGUGGGUCUCCCUUUAAUAAGGGGACUUGCGUUUUUACAUAGACACCCUUCGAAUGCAUGUGUAGAACGUCUUAUUAUUAUCAAUACAACUUUCAACAACGGAUCUCUUGGCUCUCGCAUCGAUGAAGAACGCAGCGAAAUGCGAUACGUAAUGUGAAUUGCAGAAUUCAGUGAAUCAUCGAAUCUUUGAACGCACCUUGCACCCCUUGGUAUUCCGAGGGGUACACCCGUUUGAGUGUCGUGAAUGUUCUCAACCUUAUUGGUUUCUUUGAGACCAACAAGGCUUGGAGUUUGGAGGUUUUUCCUGCUGGCCUUGUUUUGAAGUCAGCUCCUCCUAAAUGAAUUGGUGGGGUCCGCUUUAGCUGAUCCUUGACGUGAUAAGCAUUUCUUCUACGUCAUGUCGGCUGGGAACCUGCUUUCUAACCCUAGAGUUACAUGUAACUCGACCGUU